CGGUGACAUCAUGUUGAAACACCGUUUCUCGUACGAUCAUUGAAGUUAAGCAACGUUGGGCCUGGUCAGUACUUAGAUGGGUGAUCGCUCGAGAAUACCAGCUGCU